ACGGCUCAGUAACACGUAGCUAACCUAACCUUUGGUCAAGCAUAACCUCGGGAAACUGAGGGUAAUACUUGAUAGGAAAUAAUUUCUGGAAUGAUUUAUUUCUGAAACUCGGGCCAAAGGAUGGGGCUGCGGCUGAUUAGCUAGUUGUUGGUGUAAAAGACUAACAAGGCAAUGAUCAGUAAGGGCUCUUAGCGGAGAGGCCCUGAGAAGGAAUCUGAGACACUAUUCCUAGCUCUACGGGGUGCAGCAGUCGAGGAACUUUUACAAUGCUCGAAAGAGUGAUAGAAUAAACCAAAGUGUUCCAUUUUAUGGAACUUUUAUCUGUUGUAAAAAGACAGGUGAAUAAGGACUGGGCAAGACCGGUGCCAGCCGCCGCGGUAAUACCGGCGGUCCAAGUCGUAUCCACAUUUAUUGGGUCUAAAACAUUCGUAGCUUGUUUGAUAAGUUUCUUGUGAAAUCCUAUAUCUCAAGUAUAGGGCGCGCAAGAAAUACUGUUUUACUAGAGACCGGAAGGCGCAAAGAGUAUGAUUGAGGUAGCGGUAAAAUGUUUUAAUCUCAAUUAGACUAACAAUGGCGAAGGCACUUUGCGAGUACGGAUCUGACAGUGAGGGAUGAAGGCUAGGGGCGCAAAAGGGAUUAGAUACCCCUGUAGUCCUAGCAGUAAACACUGCUCACUAAACAUUAGUACCUCCUCGAGAGGUAUUAGUGCUGUAGGGAAGCCGAAGAGUGAGCUACCUGGGAAGUAUAGUCGCAAGACCGAAACUUAAAGGAAUUGGCGGGGGAGCAC
rnacentral:rRNA from 1 species